rnacentral:rRNA from 3 species
UGAAGAGUUUGAUCAUGGCUCAGAUUGAACGCUGGCGGCAGGCCUAACACAUGCAAGUCGAACGGUAACAGGAAGCAGCUUGCUGCUUCGCUGACGAGUGGCGGACGGGUGAGUAAUGUCUGGGAAACUGCCUGAUGGAGGGGGAUAACUACUGGAAACGGUGGCUAAUACCGCAUAACGUCGCAAGACCAAAGAGGGGGACCUUCGGGCCUCUUGCCAUCAGAUGUGCCCAGAUGGGAUUAGCUAGUUGGUGAGGUAACGGCUCACCAAGGCGACGAUCCCUAGCUGGUCUGAGAGGAUGACCAGCCACACUGGAACUGAGACACGGUCCAGACUCCUACGGGAGGCAGCAGUGGGGAAUAUUGCACAAUGGGCGCAAGCCUGAUGCAGCCAUGCCGCGUGUAUGAAGAAGGCCUUCGGGUUGUAAAGUACUUUCAGCGGGGAGGAAGGUGUUGUGGUUAAUAACCGCAGCAAUUGACGUUACCCGCAGAAGAAGCACCGGCUAACUCCGUGCCAGCAGCCGCGGUAAUACGGAGGGUGCAAGCGUUAAUCGGAAUUACUGGGCGUAAAGCGCACGCAGGCGGUCUGUCAAGUCGGAUGUGAAAUCCCCGGGCUCAACCUGGGAACUGCAUUCGAAACUGGCAGGCUUGAGUCUUGUAGAGGGGGGUAGAAUUCCAGGUGUAGCGGUGAAAUGCGUAGAGAUCUGGA